UACGGAGGGUGCAAGCGUUAUCCGGAUUCACUGGGUUUAAAGGGUGCGUAGGUGGGUUGGUAAGUCAGUGGUGAAAAUCCCCGAGCUUAACUUGGGAACUGCCCAUUGAUACUAUCAAUCUUGAAUACCGUGGAGGUCAGCGGAAUAUGUCAUGUAGCGGUGAAAUGCUUAGAUAUGACAUAGAACACCAAUUGCGAAGGCAGCUGGCUACACGAAUAUGACACUGAGGCACGAAGCGUGGGAUC
rnacentral:rRNA from 1 species